ensembl:lncRNA
ACGUUUGAGAAGACCUGUAGGAGUUUGUGUUGGGAGGUUCAUGAGCCCCGUGGACGCCCCAACACGUGGCCGCAAAGCUGACGGCUUCACACCAUGCACAUGGCUUCCCCUGCAGUUCUAGGGACUCACCAGGUUACCCCGGAUAACCUCCCACUCUUCGCAUCCUCUUCACAUCCUCAACUCCGCCACGUCCCGCUCGCCACGUAAGUCACGUGGUUGCAGGUGCCGCAGGUUAGGACGUUCGCAGCUUUAGGCCACAGAGGGCGAGGCUUGGCCCCAGUGAUGGCUCCUCCCGGGCUCCCCCUGGAGGCCAUGGCAACUGGGUUAGUGGUUGCAGCCGCUGAGGCCGAGCCCGGGGCUGCCCGGGGCCGAGGCAGGGUGCUGGGCGUGCUCCGGCAUCCAGGCAGGGAAACAGACGGACACAGCACGGUGAGGAGACCCCGGGGUCCCCAGUGCCUGACACGCUGCCCCUUGGCGAGGCCCCCUGCCCCCGGGCACGCACAGGAAGUCAUGAGUGUCCCUGUUUCCUGUAGGAGAAACUGCGGUCAGGGCAUACGUGCACCCAAAGUCACGGCAACUGAGCUGGGAUUUAAUGCAUGUCGGGAAAAAGCUCUCAGGAGGGAAACGAAGAACUUUCUGAAAGCUCUCAUAGGGCUUCCCUUAUGACUCAGCGGUGAGGAGGCUGCCUGCCAACGCAGGGGAUGCAGGUUUGAUCCCUGGUCUGGGAAGAUGCCACAGGCCGCCGAGCAACUGGGCCAGCGCACCGCAACUACUGAGCCUGCGCUCUGGAGCCCGGCAACCGCAAGGACUGAGCCCACGCGCAGCAACUAUGGAGGCCGCACACCCAGUGCCGGGCCCUGUCCUAAGAGAAGCCACUGCAGUGAGAAGCCAGCGCACCGCAACUGGAGAGCAGCCCCCGCUCACCGCCACCGGAGGAAGCAACCAAGACCCGGCACAGCCAAACAUAAAUAAAUUAAUCUUUUAAAAAAAGCUCUCAGUUGUUAAAUACUAAAAUAUGUUAUUUCUAAGUCCAUCCAUUAUAAAUUUCCCCCUGAACGAUUCCCAGGUAAUAUUAUCAGCAACAAAUUAUAAACAACUAUAAAACGGCUCAAGAAGAGAAUAUAUAUUACAGGAGUCCCCUUUUUUUUUUUUUUGGGGCAGAGAGGCUUGAGGGAUCUUAGUUCCUAGACCAGGGAUUGAACCCAGGUCCUGGUAGUGAGAGAAUGGAGCCUCUUGGGAAUGCUUAGCAAGCUGUCCUUUUGAAAUGAGAGCUACCAGAUGGGAUACAGCAAAAGUAUUGGAGCUUCAGCUUCAGCA